rnacentral:lncRNA from 1 species
AGGUAAAUAGACUCAAGUCCUAUAAUAUCAAUAUCAGUGCAUACUGAUUAGUUUAUUGAGUUACAACUAGUCAGAAGUCUGGAAAACUAGUUCUCACUCAUAUUGAUGUUCCUGAUUUCCUUCUUGUCUAUAAACAUGGAAAACAGUAGUUAUAAACAAGCAAGAAAUAACUAUAAGAUUUAGAAGAAGGUUAAGUCUUGAGAUUUAGGGAUUAAAUUAUAACCUCUAAUAAAGAUAUUGUGAAAAAAAUCCCUCCUUAAUUUGCAACCCAUGGAUACAUCUUCAUCAUGCAUGGGUAGGGCUGUCUGACUGAAUUCCCGCCUCUCUGCUCCUUUGCUUUACCUUUGUAAUUAUCUGGGGAACAUACAGGCAGUCUUAGCAGAAUCCAAAAACUUGAAAGCCUCUAUUCUCAAUAAUUCUGUGUCAUGCCUUGUAAUAUUAAGUCAAACAAAUAUCUAAGACUUUUAAGGAAACAUUUUCAGAAAUUAGAUUUUUUCCUUCCAUAAUACAACCACACAUUUUAACAGAUUGACUUUAAAACAAUAAAAUAAUUGGUUAACAUACAUUACU